CAUUGACCGACCGUUCAAAACAUUACGCACAGCAUCGCGGCCGGACCACGCUAGACUACUCGACUGAAAUAAUUUUUUCGCCGAGCCCGGAGAGCGGAGACAAUGCGGACAAAUCUCCAUUGCAGGUGCAGCAGCGUCUAGAAGCAUCCAGGUGGUGUGUGAUGGCGGAGAGGAGCCUCAUCUCCAUCACCCUGCUCUACGCUUUUAGCCUCUUUACAGUGCUGCCUUGUCUAAUCAUGUUCAAGCAGCAUUGUACAGGGCUAUGACAGCAUAGAGAGCUGUGCUGCGUUUCUCUGACCCCGUGGAAAUCAGCCAACAAAUGACAUCAUCCGUGAAAAAAGACACGCUAAACGGCGCGGAUUGCGUGAGAUCUGGGCUCGACUGGCUGGCUGCAGGGUGACUCGUCUUUGAAUGCUCAUGCAGAUGCAGUCAGAAAGUGAGAUGCAUUGCUUUUCAUGGGGUUAUAGACGAGUGGAACACGUGAAGUUCUCCUUGGGUUGAAUUAUUCAGGGCAAGCCUAAAUCCCUGCGAAGCCAAAUGCAUUGUUGAACCAAUCAUGGAUUUUAUUUGUGCUGCUUCUGUGUGAAAACCAGUCUGAGCAUCAUCAUACUGGACUGACAGAGCUCAGAAUUAAAAGAAAAAUAAAUUCCAUGUUGUCAGUCAGCAAAUUUCUGAAGGUAUCUGUCAUUCCUGCUUGAAUUGUACAACAUAUGCAAAACCAUCAUGUAAAUUUUUUUCUUACAGCUUGUACUGACUGGUGUUUCUGUCCAGUAUUUUACAUUGUCAUACAAAAUGCUGUGUUGAUAGUCUAUUUGUUUUAGAGAAAGAUAAUUGACAAUAGAAUAUCUUUCAUCCAGAAAUACCGUCAAAAGUGUUGCUCGACUUGCUCAGUAUUUAGUUUAGCAUAAUCACACGUGUAGCUUUGUAAUUCAAAUGUAAUGAUAACACGUGAUAGGCUAUUGUAUUGGUAAUAUGAUUGUAUGUAUACAUGCUACUAAAGUAAUAUUAAAACAUUUGUUUGAUUCCUUUGAUUUACUUCA